rnacentral:piRNA from 1 species
UGAGGUUGGUGGCUGGUGCACCGGCUC